rnacentral:rRNA from 1 species
CAGAGGUGCAAGCGUUAAUCGGAAUUACUGGGCGUAAAGCGCGCGUAGGUGGCUGAGUAAGAUGGGUGUGAAAUCCCGGCUAACCUGGGAACUGCAUCCAUAACUGCUCGGCUAGAGUACGGUAGAGGGUAGUGGAAUUUCCUGUGUAGCGGUGAAAUGCGUAGAUAUAGGAAGGAACACCAGUGGCGAAGGCGACUACCUGGACUGAUACUGACACUGAGGUGCGAAAGCGUGGGGGAGCAAACAGGAUU